CAGUCGCCACGGUAAUACGCAGGGUGCGAGCGUUAAUCGGAAUUACUGGGCGUAAAGCGUGCGCAGGCGGUUAUAUAAGACAGAUGUGAAAUCCCCGGGCUCAACCUGGGACCUGCAUUUGUGACUGUAUAGCUAGAGUACGGUAGAGGGGGAUGGAAUUCCGCGUGUAGCAGUGAAAUGCGUAGAUAUGCGGAGGAACACCGAUGGCGAAGGCAAUCCCCUGGACCUGUACUGACGCUCAUGCACGAAAGCGUGGGGAGCAAACAGGAUUAGAUACCCCCGUAGUCCCUGUCUCUUAUAC
rnacentral:rRNA from 1 species